rnacentral:tRNA from 1 species
GGCGAGGUGGCCGAGUGGUUAAGGCGAUGGACUGCUAAUCCAUUGUGCUGUGCCUGUUUGGGUUCGAGUCCCACCCUCGUCG